UGAAGCAUGUGCAGUUGCACAGUCUCCUCUCCGUUUGCACCAGCUUUGGCUUCACUGAGGUUGGCAAGGUCGGUAAUGAAAAAUGUCUGAGGUAUCUACCAAAGCAGCAGUCCUCCCUCAUGUUUGGAAUGUAAAUGCAGCUAUGUCUUGAGAUCUGGACAAGAGGUGCUAUCAAAAUGAGGUUCUCCUCCUUCAGUGGCAGAGAAGGAAGCUCUGAACUGCUGGAGACAAACUCACGUUCUUCCCACCGGAGAGAUCAGCCCUCAACAUUUCUAGCAGUGCUGAACUAUGGUCGUGCAGUGGAAGAGUUGGGGACCUCCCAGUGACUCAGUUUCUGAUGAAAGAGACUAAUCUCCUACAGUCAGGACUGCCAACAUUACCAUGGAAACCCCCAAAAAUAAAGACUCUUCCAGCCUUGUGAGAGCACACCUGCAAGAGCAAGAAUUGCCUGUCAAAAGCGACUCUCCUUCGUUCUUGGUGUCACCUAAGGACAUUUUUUGUGGACUGGAGCUUCCUGUUGUAUACAUGAAAAAUUUUCACAGAGAAGUAGUCUGGUGUUUAUGAGAAGAAAUCUUCCCAGAAGUGCACAGGAGUGAUUUUCCCCGGACAUUAGUGACUCUUGUGAAGUUCAGACAACUUCAGUAAAACCAGGCUUACAAGGAAGGACAUGGAACACUCAGAGAUCACAGACUUUAAAAAAAAAUCCAAAACCAGUCAGCAAUUGCAUCUUCCACACGUGACAUCAGUCUAUCUUAUAAAAAGCAUCUCAUAGGGGAGGAAAUGUCCAACAGUAAUAUUAAAUGAAUGUAACAACAAAACCAGUGUGCAUGUUCAGAAUACAGAGGCCAAAGUACACCUGAACAGCACGCCUAGCAAUUCAAGAGACUUUCUAUAUUUAAAGUGAACCAGACAGAAUCAUCACAUACUGAAAAAAUUGACUAGGAAAUGGCAUUUUUUUAACUCUGUACUUUAAAAAUAUAACCCUGGAAGCCACAAUUAUUGUCUUGACCAUCUGGCAAUUGAUAACCAUUAUGAUUAGUGGGACACUGACUUCCAGUGUUUCUCAAGCACCUUCUGCAUGAACUGCAGCAACACCUUGCAUAGAGUAUGAAACAGAAGGUCUCUCUCAUCAAUGCCACAGUGCCCAAUAGGCACAGCUCUUUUGAGAAACAUUCCUAGAUUCAGCAGUUUGCCUGAAUUUCAAGCAAAAGAUGCCUCGCAAUUGCUAAAAUCCAGACAAAGGCCAACCAGACCUAGCCUGGUUCUGCUGAUGAUGCUUUGCGCGCUGAUGAACUCAACUGAAUGGGCUGAAGAGUGAAGCACCACAAAGGUCAGGGGAAUAAAAGCAGUUUGAAACCACCCUAUUAUGAGUCCACCCUGGCAUCCGUAUGGGCUCCCACUGCCAAUGGUACAAUUUGUAAACAACCUCAAGGCUCCACGGUGGUGAUAGACAACCUGAUGUCAAAUCUCUCCUUCUCGCUGGCUCAGCUAAAUGUUCAGAGCAGGGAGGCAAGAGACGCAGGAGCUACCGCACAGACUCGGUCAUCCAAAGGCUGGUUAAACUAAUUCAGGGAUACAAGCGGCUCGCAGCAGCCUAGCAUACCACUGAACCACACCCUUCAAGUUAUUUCCAGCAAUCCUAACAGCCACUGCAGUCUAAGACCGCCUUGGGGUUUCCAUCUGAAGCCCAGAUCCUGUAAGAAACACGCUACUGCAGGAUUCAGGGUCAUGUUCUAUGCUUUUCAGGAUUCUUUAUCCUUAAACUAAAGUUCAGGUUCCUGCUGCUCAAACAAACCUGGAAAAAGCCUGUUGGUUUAAAACCUUAGUAGGUAAGUCAAACCCCGUCAAAACCCAACUACUCUGAGGUAUCUCAUUACUUGCAGUCCCUUCACCUCAAACUAAUUUGAUUUUAAAACUGAAAUUAAGCAA